rnacentral:rRNA from 1 species
UGGGGAAUUUUGGACAAUGGGCAAAGCCUGAUCCAGCAAUGCCGCGUGUGUGAAGAAGGCCUUCGGGUUGUAAAGCACUUUUGUCCGGAAAGAAAUCCUUGGCUCUAAUACAGUCGGGGGAUGACGGUACCGGAAGAAUAAGCACCGGCUAACUACGUGCCAGCAGCCGCGGUAAUACGUAGGGUGCAAGCGUUAAUCGGAAUUACUGGGCGUAAAGCGUGCGCAGGCGGUUUGCUAAGACCGAUGUGAAAUCCCCGGGCUCAACCUGGGAACUGCAUUGGUGACUGGCAGGCUAGAGUAUGGCAGAGGGGGGUAGAAUUCCACGUGUAGCAGUGAAAUGCGUAGAGAUGUGGAGGAAUACCGAUGGCGAAGGCAGCCCCCUGGGCCAAUACUGACGCUCAUGCACGAAAGCGUGGGGAGCAAACAGGAUUAGAUACCCUGGUAGUCCACGCCCUAAACGAUGUCAACUAGUUGUUGGGGAUUCAUUUCCUUAGUAACGUAGCUAACGCGUGAAGUUGACCGCCUGGGGAGUACGGUCGCAAGAUUAAAACUCAAAGGAAUUGACGGGGUCAUAGCUGUUUCCU